UAACUGACGAAUGUCCACCUAUAAUAAAAUGAAUUUUGAGGCCGAAAUAAAUUAAUUUUAAAAGUAGCAGGCAAGAACGGAUUUAAAUACAGGAGGGAUUACUCAAAGGCUACAUUGAAAAAGUGUCUAAGAAAUAAGAGCAAAGGCAAAUAUUAUUCAAAACAGCAACUAAGGAUUAACGAACCUCAAGAUUUAGCGGCAGAUAUAUGUGUUUUACAGAUGGGUGAAUACCCUCGCUAUGUGCGAUAGAGAAACGUUGGCUUUUCGUUAAAAAAUAUCCAUCGGCUGAGAUUACACCACCGCCUCCAAAGGCACAAUAAUAGCAAUCAUCUGCAAAUGAAUUGAUCUUGCCUCAGAAGAUGAAACACAUUUCAGAGGGAGGCACUUUGCACCGUAAGAGCAAGUUUUCCUGAUAGAUACUGAUAGAUUAGAACAAAGAUAGCAAAGAUGCGCUUACUUCAUGUCUGGUAAAUUAAGCAAAUUUACUUAAAACUAAAUAAAACACAUCAUUGCAACAAAAGGGGGAUACUUUUCUAAUGAAAUUCAUACGGAAAGAUUUUGCUUUUGCUCAAAGAUUUUAGCUGAACCUGCGAUAUUAGAAUCAAAAUAAUAAAAUCAAUAUUCUGAUGACUAAGUUACAAGUUCUUCGAAGAGUUCACAAACAUCAUAAGGCUUAGCUACGUAUCUUGCUGUUGAUUGCUUCCUACUUCUUUUAACACCA